rnacentral:rRNA from 1 species
UACGGAGGGUGCAAGCGUUGUUCGGAUUUAUUGGGCGUAAAGCGCGUGUAGGCGGUCUCUUAAGUCUGAUGUGAAAGCCCCGGGCUCAACCCGGGAAGUGCAUUGGAUACUGGGAGACUUGAAUACGGGAGAGGGUAGUGGAAUUCCUAGUGUAGGAGUGAAAUCCGUAGAUAUUAGGAGGAACACCGGUGGCGAAGGCGGCUGCCUGGACCGAUAUUGACGCUGAGACGCGAAAGCGUGGGGAGCAAUCAGG